CUCUGCUACCUCUGCUGGGGUUACGUUAGUACUCUCCAUUAGCCCUUCAAUUUCGUCAUAGAGAUAAUGGUUCUUGUCGCGAAUGUCAAGGUAAUUAGAAGCCAGAAUACUGAAUGCUUGAGGUGUGCAGUAGGGCAUGUUAAUAUGCACAUCCAUUCUACCAGGACGCAGCAGAGCAGGGUCUAGCCUGUCCUUAUGAUUGGUCGUGAACACAAUGAUUCGCUCAUCACCGCAACUUGACCACAAUCCGUCAAUGAAAUUCAGCAAUCCAGAUAGUGUCAACUGCAAAAAAGACACGAACAGAAUCAAAUUAACAAAUUAGGCCAUCUUGUGCACAAACAAUAUAAGUUGCAGAUUAGGAAAUUUUAAGCUUGAAGGGAAAUGAGUACUAACCGUGGAGUUAGAACCAUCAUACUGAUCCCCUCCUUGUUGCCGAUCCCGCGUUUGCACACUACAAUCGAUAUCCUCAAUCACCAAGAUUGACCGACUCGUGGUGGACAGAAGAACCCUCCUCAGAUCGGAAUUAGAAGACAAACUAGUUAGCUCCAAAUCAUAGAUAUCGAACUUGAGAUAGUUAGCCAUGGCAGCAAUCAAGCUUGAUUUUCCAGUCCCAGGUGGUCCAUACAGCAGGUACCCACGUUUCCAAGCCUUGCCCACUUUCUUAUAAAAUUCUUUUCUUCCCAAAAAUCUCUUCAAAUCAUCAACUAUCAUCUUCUUCAACUCUGGAUCCAAAGCUAAAGUAUCAAAAGUAGAAGGAUGUUCAAGAUUUAUGGACCCCUGACGAUUAUAAAGCUUAACAACCUUCUCUUCAUCUUCUAUCUCUUUACCCCUCUUCAAAACAUGAGGCAAGUAACAAUCCAUAACUUUCUCUUUGUACUUCUUGUUAAAGGACAAUUCAAAACUCCUUUUUUCUUCGGAGUAACCGUCGUUUUGUUGCUCUGUACAGACAUAAGCCCACUUCAACAUGAUAUUCUCGUACACAUCUGUAACUACCUCACCUUUUUCGAUUGCGACAGAGAAGGUCCUUUGUCUUGGUGUCUUGCCGAUUUUGAGUCUCUCUGUUGAUGGGCUAAUUUUAGUUUUGAGAUAGAUUUCUGCUGCAUCAUAAACUUGGUUGCGAGACACGCCAAAAUGCUCAUCAAUGACAAGGGUGAUGUUAGGGGAGAGAGGAGUGAAGAGGUAGGGAAUGGCAGUGGAUAAAUAAGAGCGAAGCUCAUCAGGGAUUAGUUCCUUUUCCAUGGAACGGAUAAGCAUGAUUGAUCCUGCAAAAGAGGCAUAAGCAGAGAAUAAUGUGGAUACUGAUCGAGGCAUGUUCGUUGGAGAAAACAUGGUUAUGGACCUAUGGUUGCAAAGAUUCUGAGAGGGCUAAUUGUUUGUGACUGGUGAGAAAUAUGAGCCAUUGAGGUCUAAUUUAUAGACGAGCCAUGGAAGCUAUCGUGGUGGUCUUUUUUUUUUUUGGGGCUGUACCGCAACCCGGUUUAUGAUUUUUUAAAUAUUUUUUUUAUUUGAACUUAAUUUUUUAUAUAUUUUAUAUUAUUUCAAUAUGCAAUGGAAAAAAUAAUAUUUAAAAAAAUAAUACUUAUAGUUAUAUUUUUUUCAAAAUUUCAUGUAUAUUUUACAUUUUCUCAUAAUAAUUUGUCAAAAUAACCAUUCAAUUUAUGUGUCAUUCUUUUACAGCUUCACUUUAUGGGUAUUGAAAAACAAAAAGAAACAACUCAAGUGAUUUUAGCUUGAAAGGAUGUCAUUAGCAUAGCCUUAGUCAAAUAAUCUAUGAUUUUCAAUAAUAGUAUCAAUUAAAGAAUUAUUUUUUUUAUUUUGCCUUUUUUAUGCUUUUUUCUUAAUAUACAUCUAUUAGAUUGUGUUAAUUAAACUUUUUGGAGGUUACUGAUACGUGGCCAUUUUAUGGAAAAAUUUGAUUAUAUAGUGUACAAAAGCCUUAAAUUGGAUUUAAUUAAGCUCCUCUAAUGAAUUUAGCAUGCUCAAUAAUGACACUUUGGUUGCUUUAUGUUAUACUCAUUACCUUUUCACCUUUAAUCUUUUUUGUUUUACAACUUACAAGCAAUGUACGGCCCAGUGGGUCAGUCAAGUCUAAAAAAAUAAUUAAUUUAGAAUUGGUUUGAUUAGAUUCGAUUAACCCGUGUUUCGAUAUAUUUCAUUAAAUCUAAUUAAUUUCUUUUUAGAAAAUGAAAACUUCAAAACAAUAUUAAUUUUCUCUCUUUUUUUUAAUAGAUUCGGAACAUCUGACAAUAGUUUAAUAGAUCGCAUCCAAUCUGGUUCACUUCUACGGAUGAGUGUGAGAUAUCCCUCUCUCGAAGGAUGAUGGUGUGUGUAUUUGUUAUUUACAGUUCAUAAAAGCAAGGAGAUUCCAUUUAAGUUGCAGUGCGUGUCGUUGUUUUGUAAUGUUAUUUUGGGGUAACCUCGGAUGCUUCUCAAUCUCUUACAUAGUUCUCAAUCUAUUUUUUAAUAAUGUAAAAUAUUAAAAUUAUAUGUUUUUAUAUUUAAUUAGUGUUAGAAAUUUAAUUUUUUUAAUAAAGCAAAAGAUAAGGGUAAUAAAGUAAUAUAUGAUGUCAAUGUCGUCAAUGUGAAUGUGAAAACCUUUUGCAGUCAAACUUUACAAGAAUAAGCAAAAUUCUACUCUGCAAUUGCUUUGAACUUUCUUCUUACUCCUUUUUGAUGUUUUCUUUUGACAAUCAAGUUCCCUUUGCAUUAUUGCUAAUAGGGAAAUUUCUUAUUUUUCUACUCUCAAUUAUUAGAAAGUACAUUGUAGUGUUAGAGUAUAUAUCAUAUAGCUAAUUGGUUGAUUGAUUAAAUAUUGUAUUUAUUUUAUUCAUGUAAAUAUAUUUAUUUUUAAUGAAAGUUUUAUUUAUCUAUAAUAUUCAUUAAAUGUUUUAUUAUUGAACUUAGAGUAAAUAUAAAGUCUUUAGAACAAAAAUAUUUUACAAAUAAAAUUAUAAAGUCGUUAUAAUUAUGAGAUUCAUAUUGUAUCAAAAUAUUGUUCGUAAAUAUUCCUAGUUAAUGCUCUAUUAAGACUGAACAUUAAUUAAAGUUGUUGAGACUGAUACAUAUUAUAAUAUUCUUUUUAUGAAAGGAAACAACUAAUUUCAUAAACUGAGGUAUGAGGGGUAGAUGACAUGUACACUAAACUGAUCCACAUGAGAAUUCCAUAUGAAAAGAUCACAUGUGUUUAUGGAAAAGUUUACGUGACAAGUGUUUAUGGAAAAGUUUACGUGACAAUUGUACAAGUGAUCUUUAGAUUUGAUAUCACUAAGUUAUCUUAUAUAGAGAAUGUUAUGCUUUGAUCUUGUUACACGUUGUCUUAAUCAAGUGUAAUAAAUGGACACAUAUUUGGUAUAGCAUGAAUUACAUAAAGUUAUUUGAGUAAUCAAUAGAGAACUUAUCACUCUAAAUGAAUUAUAGAAAGUGUUCUAUAUGUUUUCAAAUAGUAUUGAUAGUAAAUCCUUGCACAAGAUGCAAUGAUAUUCGAAAAGAGUUUUAAAUCUUAUUUAAAGAUUUAAUGACUAUGGUGUUGAGGACAAACAUGAUUUAAUAGAGUAGAUACAUUUCAUGCUAUAAUGAUUAAAUCAAAACAUUGUUGAUAAAAGUGAAUGUAUAUAUAUAUAUAAAAGAGUUUUUUCAUAGGUUUUUUUUACUAUUUUCAAAUAAAAAAGACAUAAAUAAUUAAUGUGUUUUUUUUAUUUAAUAUACCAACAUUUUUUAAUAAUAUAAAAUAUUAAAAUGAUAUAUUUUUAUAUUUAGUUAGUGUUAAAAAUUUAAUUUUUUGAUAAAGCACAAGAUAAAGGUAGUAAAAUAAUAUAUGAUGUCAACACCAAUGUGAAAGCCUUUUGCAAUUAAACUUUACAAGCAUAAGCAAAAUUCUACUCCAUGCAAUUGCUUUGAACUUUCUUGUUACCCCCAUCAACAAUUUCCAUGACCAACUUUUCACAAAUUCUAGACCAUUUUUGGGUUUUAUUUCCACGCGGUUUCCAUCCAAGUCAGGGUCAAUGCUUUUUCUUGAUGCUUUCCUUUGACUACCAAGUUUCCUUUGCAUUAUUGCUACUAGAGAAAUUUCUCAUUUUUCUACACUCAAUGAUCAAAAAGAACAUUGCAUCUAGUGUUAAUGUAUAUAUCCUCUAGCUAAUUGGACGGUUAAUGUUGUAUUCACUUUUUUCAUAUAAAUAUAUUUAUUUUUAAUAAAUAUUAAAUAUUUAAUUGAUGAAUCUAAUAUUUGAUUAAUGAAUCUUGUGUAAAAAUAAAAUCUUUAAAAAAAAUAUUUUGCUGAUGCAAUUAUAAAGUCGUUAUAAUUAUGAAAAUUUUAUUGUAAUAAAACAUUGUUCCUAAAUGUUUCCUCGUCAAUGGUCUAUUAAGACUGGAUAUUAAUUAGAGUUAUUGAGACUGAUGCAUAUUAUAUUCUUCCUUUUAAGAAAUGAAGCAAUUGUUCUUAUAAAUUAAGGUAUAAAAAAUACCUGAAACUAAUAUGUGGGUGCUUAUUAUAUGACAUGUACACUAAACUGACCCGCAUGAAAAUUUCAUAUAAAAAAAUCAUAUGUAUUUAUAAAAAAAUUCACGUCAUAAUUGUAUAAAUAAUCUUUAGAUUUUUUUACAGUAUUACACGUUGGAAUUGGAACCUUAGCAAAGUUCGAUCUGAAACAAUGAAAGAGGAAGAAAAUUAAGGGCGGUGAAGGGGGCUGGUGCAAUGUUGGGGCUAUUUUAAUUAACUCGCCCACAAAAGCAAGGGACAUGUCAUUAGCACCAUCCCAUAGUUAGUUUUGAGUGCGUGAGACAUCGUUUAAUUGCUAUCCUUUUGCUUUUCUCAUGAGUUAAGUUACCGGCAGGUCAUUUGCUAUGUGAAGUAGAUUUGGUAGGGUCUUGACUCGGUUUAUUAGAUCAUGAGUUGAUCUAUCGAGUUGAUUUGAUUUUAUCAAGUUAAUUUUCAUUUAAUAUCAUUUAAAAUUUGAUUUGGGUUAUGAAUAGAUGAACAACUCGCAUAGUUAAUCCAUGAGAUUGGAUUUAUUUAUUAUAUGAUUUAAUUUGAAAUAAAUUUAAUUUCAAAUUAAUUAAAAAUAAUUUAAUCAUUAUGCUAGAAUUAAGAAAUUCAUCAUUGAGACUUCCAAAUAUAGCUAACGAGGAUAUUGUCAAUGACAUAUUGAUGUAGUUAAAUGUUGCCAAGUGUUGGAGUACAUUGACGACUAGACAUUAAUAAGGCGCCAGUCUUUGAAGAAGUUAGGCCUAGCAGAGAUCACAUAAUCCCGUUUUGAAAAAUAAUUUUUUAAAUUUUUUUAUAUUUAUUUAUUAUUAAAAAAAUUUGUCAAUAAAAAAACUUUCUAGUCAAAAAUAAAUUUGAUUUGGUUUCUAGAAAAGUAUUUUCCUUUUAUUUUAGACGAAAAACACUUUUUAGAAGUUAUGAAAAUUUUUAAAAUGUCAUGUUAUUUGCUGAUUAUAUCAAUUUGGUCCUUAAACUUUUAAUUGCUAUAUAUUUUGUUUUGAAUCUUUUUUUUUUCAAUUUUAUCUUUUAGAAUUUGAUUUAAUUUGAUUUUUAUAUCAAUUUUGAUCUUCAUUUUUAUAAUUGUUAUUUGCUUUUCUCUUAUUAUUUUCUUAAUUGAAUUUUUUUAUGUAUCAAAUUUGAUCCUCAUUCUUUUGAUUGUUAUUUAUUUUAAUUAUUUAAAAUAAUUUAUGAAAUUAUAAUUUUUUUUUAAUUUCAUCAUCUUUCAACUUUUUUAUCUGUUAGAUUUGAUUUCUAUUAUUUUGAUUGUUAUUUAUUUUAUUUGAGAUAAUUUAUAAAAUUAGAUUUUUUUUUAAAUUUUUUUUUCAUUCAACUUUUUAAUUUGUAAAAUUUGUUCCUUAUUAUUUUAAUAAACUUGAAAAAAUAUUAAUAAUUUAUUUUACAACUCAUUUUCCAUGACACAGCCAAACACUGGAAAGUGUUUUUCAACUUAUUUUCUAUGAUACUAUCAAAUAUCGAAAAAUAAUUUACUUUUUAGGAAUUUAUUUAAAAAAAAUAUUUUCUAAAAAAAACUACUUUCCAACAAACAAAUAGGAUCGUAAUUUCACUCUUCAAGGACGAGAUUGAAUUCUUUGAACAAUCUAGAAUACAGGAAUAUGAGGAGCCAAAAAAGCUAAGAGUAUUUUUAAUGACAAAAGUCAUUUAAAAUAACCAAAUUAUUAAUAUAGUUAUUUAAAUAGUGCAAAUAUAAUUUAUUUUUUUGUGUUUUUCAACUUAAAAAAAAUAUUUUAACAACUCAUUUAAAUAUGACAAUUGAAGUGAAAGCUUGGUGUUAUUAUUCGAUUUUAGAAAAGGAAAGCGAGAGACAAGAUGAAAAAGACAAAUUUUUGUUAGCCCACGACUAUAAUCUUCUUCCUCCAUGCUUCUGGUUUUUGUUUUGGCUACCCUGAUAGAGCUGCUAAAACAGAACAUAAUAUGCUAAAUUAACAGGAAGAGUUUUUGACUUUUGUUUUGGCUAAUCCCUCUGGAGAUGCCUAAAAGGCAGGAGAAGAUACAAUGGCAGCCAAGUGCUUGGCCUCAAUCAGCAACCUAACAGGGGUAUUGGCCGAAACAAUACUUGAAUUGAAACAAGAAUAAGCACAUCAGUUUUUACAGCAGUCUGAGUGUGUAAGCCAAUUCCUGAGCUGGAAAACCUCCCACACAAAGUACCACAACACCAACACAAAAAAACUCUCACCGGCAGAGAUUGUGCAACAAUACCGUUAGCUGAAAUGACAACACAAUUACAGUUACAGGGAGUGUUUAUUUUCGUGAUUAAACUUGCUUUUAAAAUUGUUUUCUGCAUAAACAAAACAUCAAACUAUGUUUUGAUGUGAUAAUGUCAGAAAUUAAAAAAAAAACAUAACUAAAAAACAUUGUUUUAAAGCAUUUUCAAUUGAAAAACAAAUUUACACCAAGUACACAGUGGAGGGGAAAUGGGAGAAAAAAACAUGAUUGUACAGGCAGCAAAAAGCAUAAUCCAGCAAUUCCCGAGACCUGUGAGGACAUUAGCAAGAGUAGCAGAAAGCUGCGGGCAAGAUUGAAAUCCUAUUUACUAUGAAUGGCAACAUUGAAAUAGUAGCUUGAGAAUCAACGAAACAGAUGAGAGAUAGGAACCAAAACAAUAGUCCAGUACAAAAAAUGUAGAGAUAAGAUAGUCCAAGAAUCUAAACAAAUAGCAGGAAUUAAUAGCUGAAAAUCUGUAAGUGCAGUGCAAAAAAUCACAGCAGUACUCUCGUUGAUAGCUGAUAGCAUACCUGUCACAGGCAAGAAACAAAAGCAAAAUAGGAGACUUACAGCUACAUUGGUUUUACAUUAUCUCCUGUAUUCUCCCUUUGUCCGAACACCCCUCUAAACCAACCAUCUUCCACCGGGAAAGACACCAAAUUCGGACCCCAACUUGCAUUUACAAUUUUCGUAGAUGGCAUCAAUUAUUGCACCAUUUUCCACUCCAUUUCUAAAUCUGAGAGAGAUUCCAUCAUCAAUCGCUCAAUUUUCCACACACUGUUGUUCUCUCUAAUAAGGGUUUCAUGCGUCAUAGCAAGAUUUCCAGAAGAUAUCGAGAGAUAUCUUAGCACAUGAAGUGAAAUGGGAUUGAUCCAGGUAGUAUUUAACUUACCUGGAUAAAACUGGAGACAGAGCUCAUGUAGCUUUUAUCAAGUUUGCCAUCAGGAUGAGCUAAAAAUGCAAUUUUAGGGACAAAACAGGACUUCUACUUGAACUAUCAAGUAAUGAUGCAUUCGCUAAGAACAUAGGAACUGGUGUCUGUUGCAUAAACAAUCAAGUACUGCCUUCAAUUUCAGAACUUCUGCAUAAACCCAUCAUGAUUCUGAACAGAAAAGAGUACUCGUUUAGCUGUUAUAUAGAGAAAGUUAACUCCUCAACAGCUCAUUUUUUUAAUAUUAUGAGCUAAAAUGCAAUUUGGCUUUGUUGAAUUGAGCCAUUUAUGUCAAGCCCAGAUACUCUCUGGGGCUGAUAAUUUACCAAACAGAAACACUGGCAUUAAUCAGCAUCCACAUUAUAAUUGCAACCCAGAACCCACGCAUACAAACAGAAAGAAACAAUGCCAACAAUAUUGGCUGCAAACCCACUUUUCCGAUCCUAGUAACUAUCGUAUUCAAACUAGAAACAAGAAAGAGAGCUACACUAUGGCAGGAAGCAAGAAAGCAGACACAAACCAAACGGAGAACAAGUUCAUUCCUCAAUAAAAGAAAAAAUAAUAAUAAAUAACAAGUCUUUUGAGUCAGGAACCUGACACUUGUAGUUGACUUUGCUCACUGUUAACACUCUCCCCUAUACAACAGAUGACCAGAUGAUGUUUCUGAAACAAAUCACUUGUCCUGCAGCACAAAAUUCGAAUCAAAUUGAAGGCAAGGAACCUAUUAUUUUAACAGGUUGAAAGAGACAAGAAUAAAAAUUCCCAAAAGAUUGGACUUACAAUGGGAAGCAGGAACAACUCUUUUCGUAGGAAUCUGGAAAUCCAGAGUUAAAUAAGUGGAGAAGGCAAAGAUGCAAAAAAACUAAUGCACUGAAGCAUCCUCUAUUAUAUGAUAAGCACACAAGAAAAUGGUACUAAAGUGAUAUAUGAUGUCAACGCCAAAGUGAAAGGCCUUUUAGCUAAACUUAACAAGCAUCUACUCUAUGCAAUUGCUUUGAACUUUUUUGUUACUCCAUUAACAGUUUCCAUGACCAAGUUUUCGCAAAAUUCUAGACCAUUUGUGGGUUAUAUUUCCACGCGGUUAUGCAAGAACACAAAAGGUUUCCAUUUCCAUCCAAGCCAGGUUCAAUGCUAUUUCUUGUUGUUUUCCUCUGACAACCAAAUUUCCUUUGCAUUAUUGCUGCUAGAGAAAUUUCUCAUUUUUCUACACUCAAUGACAGGAGAGAGCAUUUCAUCUAGUAGCUAGCAAACUAGACAUUUCAUAAAGAAUUGCACAUAUAAAGAUGAGGAAAGCCUCCUCAUUAUAAAUCAUAUUAGCCUUUGUUAACGAUUCCACUUCGCCAUUUUAUGAAUAAUAGAGGAAUUAUGGAGAUUGAAGACCCAAAUCAAGGAUUUCAAUUUCAACUGACAUGGAUAGUAAUAGUACUUUUAAAGGGGCAAUUAAGAGGAUGAAGAUUUUCAAAGGGGCUAAUUAAUCAAUCUCAGAACAUUUUUACAAGAAGCAAAAUUUUCAACAUCCAGAAAAGGUUCAGAUACCGAAAAAAUUUUGGGGAACCAUUCUUCGCCCACAAUUUCUUCUUCUUACACCUCUUGCAGCUCGAAGAAUUCUAUUCCUAUUAAUAAACUUAUUAACUAUUUUCUUUUCAUCAACAUCAGUUUUCAGUUUCUUUGCUUCUUCAUCUCCAACUUUGCCAUUCUCUUCACUCUUAACUUCAUUAGCUUCACUAUACUUCCGCUUAAGGAAGUUAACAAGUCCUUCAAGGGCAACAUCAGCAUUUUCACUUGCCAUUAGUUCCUCUGCUACCUCUGCUGGGGUUACGUUAGUACUCUCCAUUAGCCCUUCAAUUUCGUCAUAGAGAUAAUGGUUCUUGUCGCGAAUGCCAAGGUAAUUGGAAGCCAGAAUACUGAAUGCUUGAGGUGUGCAGUAAGACAUGUUAAUAUGCACAUCCAUUCUACCAGGACGCAGCAGAGCAGAGUCUAGCCUGUCCUUAUGAUUGGUAGUGAACACAAUGAUUCGCUCAUCACCGCAACUUG
rnacentral:lncRNA from 1 species